GAGAGCAUGCCUCUAGCAAAGGACCCUCUUCAUCCCUCUCCAGAAGAGGAGAAGAGGAAACUCAAGAAGAAGCGCCCGGUGUAGAGCCCCAACUCCUACUUCAUGGAUGUGAAAUGCCCAGGAUGCUAUAAAAUCACCAUGGUCUUCAGCCAUGCACAAACAGUAGUUUUGUGUGUCGGCUGCUCCACUGUCCUCUGUCAGCCUACAGGCGGAAAAGCAAGGCUCACAGAAGGAUGUUCCUUCAGGAGGAAGCAGCACUAAAAGCACCCCAAUCAAGAUGAAUGGGAAACCAUUCCAAUAAACACAUUU